CUUGAGGGGGGGGUCCCUCAGCCCCGAUUGUGAGAGGGUGUAGACCAGGCUGAGGGAGCCCACCGGUGCACG
rnacentral:pre_miRNA from 1 species